AAUAGAUACCCAGGUAGUCCACGCCCUAAACGAUGUCGACUGGUUGUUGGGGGUUUGACACUCUCAGUAACGAAGCUAACGCGUGAAGUCGACCGCCUGGGGAGUACGGCCGCAAGGUUAAAACUCAAAGGAAUUGACGGGGACCCGCACAAGCGGUGGAUUAUGUGGAUUAAUUCGAUGCAACGCGAAAAACCUUACCUACCCUUGACAUGUCCUGGAGCCCGCUGAGAGGUGGGUGUGCCCGAAAGGGAACGGGAACACAGGUGCUGCAUGGCUGUCGUCAGCUCGUGUCGUGAGAUGUUGGGUUAAGUCCCGCAACGAGCGCAACCCUUGUCAUUAGUUGCUACAUUUAGUUGAGCACUCUAAUGAGACUGCCGGUGACAAACCGGAGGAAGGUGGGGAUGACGUCAAGUCCUCAUGGCCCUUAUGAGUAGGGCUUCACACGUAAUACAAUGGCGCGUACAGAGGGCUGCGAAGGGGUAACCUGGAGCCAAUCCCUGAAAAGCGCGUCGUAGUCCGGAUUGCAGUCUGCAACUCGA
rnacentral:rRNA from 1 species